AACGAACGCUGGCGGCGCGCCUAAUACAUGCAAGUCGAGCGAGAAGACGUAGCAAUACGUUUGUAAAGCGGCGAACGGGUGAGGAAUACAUGGGUAACCUACCCUCGAGUGGGGAAUAACUAGCCGAAAGGUUAGCUAAUACCGCGUACGCUCCUUGGACUUCGGUUCAGGGAGGAAAGCGAUACCGUGGGUAUCGCGCUCUUGGAUGGGCUCAUGUCCUAUCAGCUUGUUGGUGAGGUAACGGCUCACCAAGGCUUCGACGGGUAGCUGGUCUGAGAGGACGAUCAGCCACACUGGCACUGCGACACGGGCCAGACUCCUACGGGAGGCAGCAGUAAGGAAUAUUGCGCAAUGGGCGAAAGCCUGACGCAGCGACGCCGCGUGGGGGAUGAAGGUCUUCGGAUUGUAAACCCCUUUCGGGAGGGAAGAUGGAACGAGCAAUCGUUCGGACGGUACCUCCAGAAGCAGCCACGGCUAACUUCGUG
rnacentral:rRNA from 1 species